UGGAGUUCACCUGAAUCAACAUGGAUACUACAAACUCAUUAGACAACUCCGGGGAAUUCUUUCUCAUCACCGCAUUAGUCAAUGUUAACUGUUUUGCUUAGCUUUUGAUCAUCCAAAGUGCUGUAGUUUCCACAUAGGGCAUUGUUUGAAUUUUUGGCUCAGAACAGCAUGGCUUCCAGACCCAAAAGGAAAAGACAAUCAAAUGAUCCACGCACUAAGAGGCCAACAACCAUUUCAACACAAGGGACGUCACUAUCAAGAAGUCAAGUUGAAGGUAUGGUCAAGGCAUGCGUGGCAGCGAUUAUGCCCAUACACUUUAACUGAGAAAACAUGUCGGGAGGUCUUAUCGAGACAGACCACAGUGUCCUCUGCAGCCACAGGUACCGCACCCACACCAACAGCGGAAGAGACAACAAGUGGGCCACAACCUUCCCAAUCGUUGCUACAAGAUAUCACAGGUAUCUCUUCAUCGUUAGAACCAAGUAGUGUUUCCCAUUCAAAACAAACAUCUGCUACUUUACUUACUCUUGGUGUAGAUAACAAAACUUGGGCCAAAAUUCAUGCUGGGGAGUUUAAGUUUUCAUCUCUGUUGCCCUCAGACUCGCGCUCACCAGCCAAUAACAAUUACACUUCAGUAGAUCAAGAUGGACAGCUCAGCUAAUUUUUCUCCAAUCAAAUGAGAACGACCCGAUAUUCAAAAUGGACUGAAGCAUAUCAAGUUUUUGUGGCCAUAUUAGCAGAAAAAUUCCCUCAUGAAAUAGGCAAUCUAAUGGUGUAUGCCCAAACGAUUCAGAAGAUUGCUGAGUCAUGUGGGGACCAAGCGGCUCUCCAGUACGACGAAAAGUUUCGCCGUUGAAGACAAAAGGACCCAUCUGCGUGUCCUUGGCAAUACAAAAAUGCUGAGUUUUACCAGGAAGCCCUGGUCUUGGGACUGGGUUAUAAACUAAAAUCCAGAAAGCAGCAGCCCUUUCAUGCCCCCCCCCCCCCCCCUAAGCAUAGAUACUGCUGUGCAUACAACAAUCAUGGCACAUGUCCCAAACAUGAUGCCUGCUCCCACCCCCACGUUUGUCAAAUCUGUGCAGGUAAACACUGUCGCAAACUCUGCCCAAAAUUCAAACAAAAUAAACAAAAACAUAACACCCGCGAUAACAGUGUCAGUGCUUCCAAGCCCUCCACUACAAUUAGGAAGUAAAAUAACUACCCCUAUUCAACACACUAUGUUAGCUUACUAUUUAGAAGGGUAUGACCACACACUGUCUGAUGUUUUAAUACAAGGAUUUAAGUUUGGAUUCAAAAUCCCAUACCAAGGGCCAAGGCAAUUUUGUCUCCAUUAAAGGGAAAGAAUCUACCUUGGAUCAGAAAAUUCUAUUAGAACUGCAGAGCACUCGUAUAGCUGGUCCAUUCAUUGAACCCCCUUUCCCUAAUAUUCAAAUCUCACCGUUAGGCCUAGUUCCUUAAAACAUCACCAGGGAAAUAUCGUUUGAUACGUCACUUAUCAUUCCCAAACGGAGAAUCCAUUAACCACUACAUGUAUAUUCCCCAAGAGUUUUGUACGUUACAAUAUCAGUCAGUCCAAACAGCUAUUCAGAUCAUUAAACAAUUAGGAAGAGGUGCUCUUUUAGCCAAACCUGAUAUUGAGCAUGCAUACAAACAGGUUCCUAUACAUCCUGAUGACUUUGAACUCUUGGGUGUUAUGGUAAAUAAUCACUAUUAUUAUGAUAAGACUUUACCUUUUGGGCUUAGCUAUGCAUGCAAUUUGUUUUAAAAAAAAAUUAGUACUGCUCUUCAGUGGAUUUUACAAUCCAAAUUUUCUGUCUCCCAAUGCGUCCAUAUUUUGGAUGAUUUCCUCUUCCUAGGACCACCACACUCGCCGGAGUGCUACAGGGCGCUACUUGCUUUUCAUGUCUUAGCGAAUGAUAUAGGUCUUCCAAUUAAAACGCAGAAAACAGUAUAUCCAACUACCACAUUAACUUUUCUGGGUCUCGAGUUUGACACAGUGUGCUUUCAAGUUAGGUUACCACAGGACAAGUUAGACCAACUUCAGUCAGAGAUCAAAUAAUGUCUCAACAAAAAGUCCACCACGCUGCGGGAGCUCCAAUCGUUGAUUCGUAUGUUGAACUUCCCUUGCAAUGUAGUACCUCCGGGGCGCACAUUCUUACGAAGGCUUAUUAAUCUCACAAUUGGUCUCCAAAAACCAUAGAAAACUUAAUUUGGAAGCAAGGGAGACCUAAAAACUUGGGCUGUGUUUUUAGAACAUUUUAACGGCAAAGCAUUCUUCCCCUCUGGUACCACCCACUCAUCAUCCUCCCUACACCUUUUUACUGAUGCUAGCAAUUUAGCGUGGUACUUCACUCAGACAACUUAGCAGUAGUUCAAAUUAUUAACGAAAAUACAUCAAAAGACCCCAAACUUAUACAACUAAUGCGACGUCUAAUGAUUCUGUCUCUUACUCUUAAUAUGCAUUUCCAUGCUAAGCACAUUCAAGGGGUUGCCAAUAUAGCUGCAGAUUUACUUUCUCGGUUACAGGUCUCAGAAUUCAGAGCCAGGUUUCCUCACAUGGACAUCAACCACACACCAGUUCCUCUUUCCUUAGUAAGGAUUUAAGUCAAACUGCUGACUUGUUACUACGCAACUCACUCAGCAAAUCUACUUCCUUAGCUUACAAGUCAGUUUUCCAAACAUAUAGACAAUUUGUUGAGAUGUCUUUUCCUACUGAAUGCCCUCUCCCCCAUCCUUACAGUACCUCUCGGGGUUUAUCGCCAAUUGUUAUCUUAAGGGAUCGGCUGCUUUACUGUGCACACUUUCAUAUCUGCUCUAAGUUUUAUAUUUCAGCUAGGGGAUUUUGCAGAUAUCACACAUUUCAUUGUUAAAAAACUGUUACAAGGGUUCCAGAAAGUUAAACCAUCCUCAGAUACCAGGCUCCCCAUAACCCCCAAUAUCUUAAAAUCCCUCCUCCUGGCAUUGGAACACACUACAUCCUCUUUCUUCACUAAAUUGCUGUUAAGAGUUAUGUUCCUGGUAGCAUUCUGUGCAUUCCUACGGAUAGGGGAAACUACUAAAACCUCUGGCGCAACACAACACCACAUUUUAUUUAAAAACCUUGGACUAAAAUCAGAUGUACAACAUGAGCAGUACAUAGAAAUAAGCAUUCCCCAUGCAAAGUCCCCUACCUCUACUAUACGACUUCAUCAGAAUAAAACCAAUCCUGCCCGUAUAAGUCUCUGUUGCAAUACCUCGAGAUUAGGAAGCACGACUCACCAUACCAGCCACUAUUCUAUUUCAUGGAUGUUACCCCUCUGUCACGACAAUUUUUCACGGAACAACUUCGUUUAGCUCUAUCAUUUUGCAACCUUAACCUUCAUCACUAUCAAACUCACAGUUUCCGAAUUGGUGCUGCCACUACCGCGACUGCCCAAUGUUUUUCGGAACUCCAAAUACAGUACAUGGGGAGAUGGAAAUCCAAUGCUUUUAAGAAGUAUAUUCGAAUUCCUAUCUUAAAAAUCUGAGUAUCCGAUUUCUCUAUUAAACUACUUGGCAUCAAUUAGGAGCUGAUAACCAAUCCAUUACAGUUUAUGUACAUUUUUUGAUCAGUCAGGGGCUGAUACCUUAUGGCAUUUGCCAUCAGUCAGGGGCUGAUGACUAUGCUUCAUGUAUCCUGGAAAGGGCCCUUGUCACCAAUCAGGUUCGAUACCACUGCAUAUAAGUUAAGGACAUACUUGCCUGCAAUCAGGGUCUGAUGGCUUUUAGCAUAAUUUCCUUAUGAACACAUGCACCUUUUAUUGUUUAGUUUUGUUCUGUUUGUAUUGAUAAGUUCUGUUUGUGUUGACGAUGGGGGCGUUAACAAGCAAUAUUUGUAUAUCUCUGUCUCAUGUAUUCCCUUUCUACAAAUAUUGCCUGGCUUGUCAACAUGGCCUUUUAGCACCCCCUUUUCUGAUUUUUCCAAGUUGUACAUAUGUUUGGGUCUAUUUUUUAUAUGCCAAAUAUGCCAUAAUGUUUCACUGAUCAUAAUAUGUCAGAUGACACAUUUUUAUACGCCCGUCGAAAACGGGACGUAUUAUGGUAUGGCGUCGUCCGUCUGUCUGUCCGGACCUUGUGGGCAGGAUACAGACUGAACCAUAAGCCCUAGGGCUUUAUGACUUGGUACAUUUGAUCACCAUGAUGAGAGGAAGAUGCCUAUUGUUUUUCAAGGUGAGAGGUCAAAGGUCAAGGUUGUAGUAUCACUUAUUAGGAAAACUUUGUGGGCAGGAUACAAACCGAACCGUAAGCUCCAGGAUAUUAUAACUUGGUAUAUUUGAUCACCAUGAUGAGAGGAAGAUGCUAUUGUUUUUCAAGGUCAAGGUUGUAGUAUCACUUUUUAGGAAAACCUUGUGGACAGGAUACAAACCGAACCGUAAGCUCCAGGAUAUUAUAACUUGGUAUAUUUGAUCAUCAUGAUGAGAGGAAGGUGCCUAUUGUUUUUCAAGGUCAAAGGUCAAGGUCGUAGUAUCACUUAUUAGGAAAACCUUGUGGGCAGGAUACAAACCGAACCGUAAGCUCCUGGAUAUUAUAACUUGGUAUAUUUGAUCACCAUGAUAAUGAAUUAGCUCACAGAGUACAGUGCUAACUUCACUAAAAUAUUAAUCCCACUAAAAUAUGUUUUCCUUGAGCAAAAUCUACGGGUGUAUUAUGCCACGUUGGCGUUGCUCUUGUUUUUGUUCUCAGGUGCUAAUUUUGAGAUGUGGCAAUUUGUCAUUAUACAUUGUCAGUACAUUUUACUUGUAUGCAACUUUUACUUAUAUUUGAAUCCUAGUUUGUGUUCCCUUUACUAUCAUUUAUUGUAUACAUGUAUGUAAUAAAUGACCUAUUUUAUUAUUUAAA